rnacentral:lncRNA from 1 species
UGCAGUUUGUUGACGUGGCCUGUGGAGUUAUGGCAGACGACACCAGUCCAUUCACAGCAAUCCCCACCUUCAACCCAUGACGAUAGCCUGUUUGAAGGAUCAAUAAGAUGAUGCUUGAAUUUCAAAAGAGCUUCUCUCUCACUCUGAAUGCAAAGUAGGUUGGAAUUGGCAUGACAAAUGGUAAAACAGACAGCGGGAAUGAGAAGAAGAAUAGGGAAAAAGGAAAUAGGAAGAGGAGUAGUCAUGGUUGCAAUUGCCAUGGCUCACAACUCCAAAUAUAUAGAGUAAGCUUUAGCUAAAACACAAAAAUGCAUGAAGCGCAAGGAAGUUUCUUCCAACAAAAUGCAUUAAAUUCGAAAUUUAUUUAUCCACAAAAGGUUAUAAAGUUGAGUCAAACAAAAGUCUACUAAAAGCUAAAGGAGAAAAAAGAGAAGGAAAAGCUAAUGGCAAACACGGAAUUUGAGUAAGAAAAGCAAAAUUUUGAUAAGGAACUUUUAUCUUUAUAUUCCUGUAUCAACAAAACAUAAAGUUUAGAAGCGGGUCAACUUAACCAAGUCUACGGAGUCAGAUAUUUUUCAGUAUAAAUUACACCAAGGUCACACUAAAAUGUGGUUUGUCCUAUUUUGGCCACUUUAAUUUUUUUCUCAAUUUAGUUAUUCUUGUUAAAAUAAUUAUUUAAACUAGUCACUCGCGUUAAUCAAUUUGUCCUGUUAAAAUAUAAACGUAAUUUUUAAUCCACAAUACAAUAAGUGAAUCACAUUCUAUCACUCCCAAAGUAGAAAUCCAACCAUUGUACCUAAAGACUAGAACAUUCACAUCUAAAUUCUCUAUAUUAUUCAUAAUCUAGACAAGCCUCCAUAGAUAUGUCAAUUUCGACUUGCAAACAUAAAAUCUAAAUGAAAACAAAGCAACUCAUUGAUAAUAGCAAUUACAAUCAAACCAAUAGAAGCAACUCCUUGACAAUUUGUUAACUUUGCUAAUGGGGCAUACUCGUGGAUUGCCACAUAGAUGACAUGUCAGCAUUUAAUUAAUUCUAUAAAAUUUAAAAUUUUAUAAAAUUUUUUUAAAAUUAAAAAUCAUUAAAAUAAUAUGUGGAUCAAAUUGAGACCAUUUGUAAACUUUGAGGGUUAAUUUUUAAAAUUAUGGCUAAAUCAAUAUAAUAUGUAAAAAUUAAGGGCUAAAUUUGUUAUUAUCAAUUUUUUAAUUGCUACGUUAUCCUCUCGUAAGAGAUUUAACAACACUUAAUGGAAAUGGACCAAAAAAAAUCUUGUUUAUUUGGAUGACCAAAUUAAAAAAUUGUUAGUAAAAUGAUCAAAACAGAAAAAGGAUAAUAUACAUAUAGCCGUGGUAUAGUUUAUCCUAUAAAUAAAUAAAUAAAUCGUGUAAAAUCUUGUAGGUAUGCACCCAAACUCUUUAAAUAUAGCAAAAUAUCUCAACAUAAGGUUAUUAUUCAAAUCUAUUAGACGUAUAGAAUUUUGGCUUAGCUCCCCAAAAUUCGAAUUGCCUGCAUAUAACGAAUAAUAAAGGUUGAAGCUUUUGCCCUUGCCCAUGCCUUAACCAUGCCAUACAUCCACAUAUAACGAAUUAUACAGGUUGAAGCUUUUGCCCUUGCCCAUGCCUUAACCAUGCCAUACAUCCAUUCUUAUUUAUAUAUGUUCAUUCCUCUUUAGUUAUGGUUGGUUAUCGUUGAUAGUUGCCAUAGAUCCAUUGUUGAGAAAAUGGUGAAAGGCAUGUAGCUUUGAGAUGCCUGUUCUGGUUUCUCCUUUUUGAGUUAAAGAGAGAAGAGAAAAGGAAAAAAAAAGUGUUGGAUUUGUCGAAACUAUUUUUUUGUAAACGGAGGUCGACUUUAAUUUUGUUAAUGAAAACGAACACAGGAGUCGCCGCCAAUUCUUUUUUGUGAGGUGUGAUUGAAUCACCUUGUAAUUUGAUUGUUUUAAAUAAACGGUUUGAUUCACUAAAACAAUAUUUUUCGGUCCACAAAAAUCCAGAAAAUGGGUUUGGGAGUCGGUUACGUACGAGGAAGGGAUUAUCACCCUCGUUACACCCAAAAUUGGUAACUAAUUGAUUACUCAAUGUCUUAAUGUCGAAAGUUGAAAAUUCGAAAAGAAAUUUAAAAUAUGAUCCCUUUUUAUUAAUUUUAUUAAAAAAAUGAUUGAAUAAAUCAAAAAGAGAGUUAAAGACCAACUCGUCUCAAAGUAACGAAAUAUCACAUCCCAUAAGUUAGGACACAAUAUUUGGAGCCUUUGAAAAUAAGCUUGCCUUUAAUUUUUAUUGAAAUUUCGCAUUUUGAAAUUUAAAAGGAUAUUUUACUAUUUAGGUUUAAUGAGAAAAUCGAAACCCCGUAAGGUAGGGUAUGAUUUCUCGAGUUUUCGAAAUGCGAAAUAUUGCCUUUAUUUUCAAAAUUUUCCUUUUUUGAAUUUAGGUAAAAAUUAAUGUAAUGUUUAAAAUGAUAUGUUUAGUUUAUUCGAUUAUGGCAUAAAGACAGUUACAACAUAAAAAAGCGUCUUGGAGUAAUAAUGGCAUUGAUAUUGCUAAAUGAUAAUGUUAAUAUGCAUAAACAAUAAUAAUGAUGAAAACGAUAAUAUAAAUAACAAUAACGAUAAUAACAAUGAUGAUGAUAAUAAUAAUAAUGAUAAUAAUAAUCUAAGUUUUGAAAGUACAUAAAAAGUAAUAAAUAAGUAACAAUAAUAAGGGCAAAAAUAAAAAAAAACAAGCCAAUUAAAAAUAAUAAUAAUAAGUAAGUAAAUAAAUAAAAACUAAUAUAAGUUUGAUUAAAAAUUGAAAAUAAAUAAAUAAAUAAAAUAUUAAAUGAAAUAAUAAAUAAAACCAUUUUUUUAAAUAAUAAAAAAGGUUGAAGUUAAACAGACUAAGGAUUGAAUUGAAACCGAAAUGAAAUUCGAGGUACAAAUUAAAAAUAAUAAAAAUGGACUAACAAGGAUAAAAAUAAAACGCGUUAAAAAUGACAGGGACCAAGUGGCAAAAUAUCCCUUGUCCUUAUGCGUGUCGUUUCUUAAGGGACGAGAAUGAAAUAAAUAAAAAAUUAUCGGGAAAAAUAAAAAAAACAAAAAGGGCUAAAUUGCAACUAGCCGCAAAGGUAGAAGGACCGCACGCGAAAAUAACCCAUGCUCUAGAAAACACGCGGAUUCUCUAGGCAAAUGGGUCGGGUCACAGGUCAGAGGCCAAAACGAAUAACCCAUGCUCUAGAAAACACGCGGAUCCUCUAGGCAAAUGGGUCGGGUUAAUAUGCCACAUCAAUAAUUCGUUAGUGGAUUAACGAAAUUUUUAACACAAUGACUAGUUCGAUUAAUUAUCUUAAUUAAAGUGAUUAAAUUGAAAAAAAAAUAGAGUGGACAAACUCUAUUUUAAAGUGACCUUGAGUGUAAUUUGCCCUUAUACUUUUAUGCGUGUCUAAAAUUACUAUUUUUUUUUUGAGAGAAGAAAUUCAUUAGUGAGAAAGUUACAAAACACAAGCGAACACAAGGAGGAGACAAAUUACUAAACCUGAGCCAAUAGGCACACUCCAUAAACCCGAACUUACUGUCUGUAAUCCUCAUUUAUAUCAACAUAUGGUAUAAUUGCAACAUUCUUUGAAAGAGAUGCAAAGGAAAAAAACAUCUCAUUCCAUGUGGUUUGCAUAUAAGAAAGCUGCCCACACAAGUGGGUUGUCUUGUUGGCACACCUGACUAGUCCAAAAAAAUGACAGAUUUUUAAACUAUCUUUCAGCACUAAACAAUCAUGUAACAAUACACCUAGCUCAGACGCAUCAAUUAUUGGCGGAGUCCAAGCAGUCAUAACAGCCAAACAAUUAGACCCAAUGACCACAUUGUCGAAGAACAGAGCCUUUAGCCAUGACAACGCCUCCCGAAUGGCGUAAGCUACAUCAAUACAGGACUAAAUCUGGCGUACUCAAACCCCGAGAGACAUAACAACAUCCGCAUUAUUGACAUACAAUUAAAAGCAAUCAUACAUCAAAGCACACUUUCAAUAAAUUACACAAGCUUGAAAUGCCCUUGAUUCUUGUAUGAGUACUAAAACUAAACUUGAAGUUUAGAUCAAUUGAUUCAAGUAAUCUCUUUUGAAAAGUGGCAUUUGAUAGAUCUAAGAUCUGAAUCCUAUAUAAUCAACCACAAACACAAAUAAACCAUUUGUAACAAUUAAUUAAUUUUUAAAAUUUAAAAAAUUCUAACAAUUAUUUUUAAAUUUAAAAAUCAAAAUUAUUAAAAAUAUAUGAGGAUCAAAUUGAGACCAUUUGUAAAUUUUGAGGCUUAAUUUUUUAAAGAAUUUAACUAAAUUAAUAUAAUAUGUAAAAGUUGAGAGCUAAACUUGUUAUUAUCGAUUUUUUAAUUGCUACAUCAUCCUUUCUUCAGAGAGUUAACGAUACUUAACGGAAAUUGACUAAAAAAAUAUCUUGAUUGGUUGGGUGAUCAAAUUAAAAAAAUGAUAGAUAAUAAAAAAGUGACAUAUAACCUGUGGUAUAGUUUAGCUUGUAAAUAAAUAAAUCAAUAAAUCAUUAAAUGUUGUAAAAUCUUGCAGGUCUGCCGUCAAACUCUUUAAAUAUUACAAAGAUGAGGUUAUUAUUGAAAUCUAUUAGAGGUUUAGAAUUUUGGCUUAGCUCCCAAAAGUUGGAAUUGCCUGCAUAUAACGAAUAAUAAAGGUAGAAGCUUUUGCCCUUGCCCUAUCUAUGCCAUACAUCCUUUCUUAUUUAUAUAUGUUCAUUUUUCUUUUAACUAUUUGUGGAUGUAUGGUGGGUUAUCAUUGAUAGUUGUCAUACCUCCAUUGUUGAGAAAAUGGUGAAGGACAUGUAGCUUUGAGAUGCCUGUUUUGGAUUAAUUAUAGACAGGUCUCUAAGUUUUUGUCAAAAGUCAAAAGAAAGUGUCACGCGUCAUUAUUCAAGGCUAAUUUGUUACAACAACAAUCCGUUAGUGGGUUAGCGAAAUUUUUAACAGCAGUGACUAGUUCGAACAAUAAUAUUAAUUAGAGUGAGUAAAUUGAUAAAAAAAAUUAUAGUGGCCAUUGGUGUGGGUGGGUCUAAAUUUACUAAUUUUUUGAAAGAAAAAAAAUUCAUUAAUAAAAAAAGGUCACAAAAUAAUAGCAAACACAAAGAGGAGACGUACUACAAAACCGGAGACAAACAAAAUUCUACGAAGAAAGCUCCACUCCCACAUUCUUUAAGACUUUCUAGGUCUUAAAAGCUAAAGGAGAAAAAAAAGAAAGAAAAGGUAAUGGAAAACACGGAAUUUGAAUAAGAAAAGCAAAAUUUUGAAAAUAAAUCAAUUUAUCUUUAAUUCUACUUUAUUUAACUCAUAAACUUUUAUAUAUAAGUUUCCAAGAAAGGAGGAGGAAAAAGAGAAGGAAAAGAAAAUGGAAAGCACGAAAUUUGAGUAAGAAAAGCAAAAGUUUGAUAAGGAAUAGUACUUCAACUUCGAUUGAAAAUAAAUCAAUUUAUCUUUAUAUUCCUAUAUCAACCAAACAUAAUGUUUAGAAGCAGGUCAACUUAACCAGGUCUACGGAGUAAGAUAUUUUUCAGGGUAAAUUACACUAAGGUCACACUAAAAUGCGGUUUGUCCUAUUUUGGUCACUCUAAUUUUUUUUCUCAAUUUAGUUAUUUUCAUUAAAAUAAUUAUUCAAACUAAUCACUCGCGUUAAUCAAUUUGUCCCGUUAAAAUAUAAACGUAAUUUUUAAUCCACAAUACAACAAGCGAAUCACAUUCUAUACUCCCUGUCGAAACCAUUUUUUGAAAACAAAAAUAGAGUUGACUUUUAUUUUGAAAAUUAAAGUUGGUACCUUUGUUAGUCUAACUAUUAAAUCUAUGUUUAAACAAGGCUUAACUUAUAAGUUGGCAUCUAAACAUAUUUUUGCUCUUAAGUGGUACUUAAACUAUUCUUCUCUUACCCAUUUUACACCAAAAUGUUAUACCCAUUCAAUAAAAUUCCAGCUAAUAAUAAUCUGCCAUGUCAUAUAACUUAAUAUAUAUAUAUUUAAAAUUUUUACUUUUUUCUUUUACAUUUUUCUCUCUUUUUAUUUUUUUCCCCAUUCCCAUUCCCUUUUUCUUCUUCUUCUUAUUCUUCUUUUAUAAUGAAUGACAAUACUAGCGAUGCUCAAAAUUCACUCUCUCAAAGUUGAGAUGCUGUCAAUUGAUUAUAUUUUCAAAUUUCACCGCUUGCUUGUUCGAUUUGAUGAGACCAAAAAAGUUGUUUCAUCGACCAAAUCCCUUGUUUUCAAAACUAGAUAAUUGACCGGUUGGACUGGGAAUUUGUCGGGGUACUGGUUCUGAGAUAAUGGUUGAUGGAUUGACUUGCAAAAUUUUGAUAUCACUUGUGACAAAAAAUAAGUUCAAAUACCAAGAUGAGAAAAUUUUAAUUUAGGUACCAGUUUGUGGAUCAAGCCUAAAUUUUAUAAUCUCAUUUUGAAUAUCCUCUUGCUCUAUCCUUUUUCUUUUCCUUCCUACAUGUCAUGAGAUUUAUAAAAUCAUUUGAAAAAUUCGAAAUUAUUUUUUUCAUUCAAAAAUUCCAAAAAAACAUUAACAUUUGAAAAUGGUGCAUUCUGGUUUUUUUUUUAAAUUUAAAAAAUUUUCCAUCUAAAACAACAUAAGAGUCCAACAUUUUCAAUGAAAAUAAUUGAAAAAAAUGUCAUUUAAUCUUAAAUUAUCAUUAUAAAAUAUUUGAUUAAUAGUAAAAAUGUAGUUUAACAAAAACCAUUAAAUUCAGUGAUAAGAUUUUUUAGAAUAAAAUAAUGUUGUUCUACAUUGGCUUUAUGAAUAAUUGCUCUACAUUACUCGACGUUCCUACACUAUAAAUUUUAAUUUAAUAUUAUAUAGUAUAUCAAUUUAUUUAUUAACAUCAUUUUAGUAUUCAUUUCUACAUGAUUUAGUUGAAUCCAAUCAAAUGUUCAUUAGCCAUAGAUUGGUCUCUAUAAAUGGACUGUAGAAUCUUUAAAAUAUGAGCACAAUAACUAGUCAAAGAUUCUGUUGUAUAAAUUUGCCAACUCAAAUAUGAAAAGUAUGUUUACUACCUUAGCGGCUGUUUGUAAUAGGCACUAUUGAGUGCCAAUCAUCACAGAAGCACGCAACUUGUCUCAACAAAUAGUUUUAAUUAAGAAAAUGAAUUUUCAAGUAAUUAGUUUAAGAGUAUGUAAUGAAUUUAAUUUGUUUUAUAAAAGAUUUAAAUGAUAUAAUUAACUCUAUAUUAAAAAAAAUAACUUUAGCUUUUCCGUGCUUUUAUCAAUUGAGUUGGUGUCACUUGACUUAUGAUACUAAACUUAAUCAAACAUGUUAUUAUAGUAUAAAUAAUUAUCUUGUGACCAUAUACAUAUCUAUAUAUGAAAUAGUGAUCGUAUACAUAUAUAUGCACAUGAAGAACUUAAUUUUUAAAUCUAUCACUCAUCCGUUCAUUCUCUCUCUUAUAAUUGUCUUUUUACAUUAUAUUUUAAUAAUAUAUAAUGUGAUCAUAAAUUAAACCCUUAAUUGUAGGCUAAAUUAGCCAUAUAUGCCAAAAAAGUUUGUUAAUUGACUAAAUAGGUCAUUUUUUUUGAAAAUAUAGAGAAAUCGACCAUUUUUGGAUAGAGUGUGUGAAAGCUCGAUCAGCUGGGCGAGCUUUCUACUGACAUGUUAGGGAAAGUGCGCCAAGUAGAAAAUGUUUUUUGAAAAUUUCAAUGAAAAUGCGUCUAACUAGGCACAUUUUCCCUGACAUGUCAGCAGAAAAAUUCGCCUAGCUAGACAAGCUUUCUUGCCACUUCUGCAAAAAGCAUGUCUAGCUAGUGGAGCUUUCAUACACUCCCUCCAAAAAUGACUUAUUUCCCUAAAUUUUCAAAAAAUCGACUUUUAUGACCAAUUUAAUCAAAAUUUUUUUAUCAUUUUUGGAGGUGCCAAAGUGUAAUUUUACUAUUAGUAAUUUAAAUUUUAUAAACUAUAAAGGGGCCUAAAUGGAAAAUUUUUCAUUUUAAGGGGGCCGAAGCCCCUGCCAGCGCCUUGGCUCCGGCCCUAGUGCCACGUGUCAUAAUUCAAUUGGCUAAUGUGUCACAAUAGUAAUCUAUUAAUGGAUUAAUAGAAUUUUUAACGACAUUGACUAGUUCAAACAUUAAUAACAUUAAUUAGAGUGACUAAAUUGAGAAAAAAAUUAGCUAGAGUGACCAAAAUAGGACAAACUUAUUUUAUAGUGACCUUGGGUGUAGUUUACCCUUAUGCUUUUAUACGUGUCUAAAAUUACUAUUUUUCUAGAGAAGAAAUUAAUUAAUGAGAAAAGAAAAAAGCAAAAGUGAACACAAAGAGGAGACGGACUACUAAACCCAAGCCAACAGGCUUACCCCAUACACCCAAAUCUACCAUCCGCAAUUUGCAUUCGUAUAAACAUAAAACAUAAUUUCAACAUUCUUCAAGAAAGAUGCAAGGGAAAAAAAAUCCUAUUAUGUGUGGUUUGCAUAUAACAAAACCGCUAAUGCAAGCGAGUGGGCCGCUUUGUUGGCACACCAAGCGAGUUGACAGACGCAAAAACUAAUCUUUUAUCAUCAAACAAUCAUGUAGCAACACACCUAGCUCAGAUGCAUCAGUUAUACAUGCUUUUUUCCUACCAAACUACAUACCCAUAGUAGCCCAAAACACAAUAGAGUUUACCACAGAUAUGGUCUAGCUUUCGAUUGUUUGCAAUCCUCCAAGACCUAAUGAAAAACACGGGAGCCACUACACCCCAAAAUCCCAAUACAAAACCAGGAACUAUGCUGACAUAAAGCCAAUUCACUUUACUUCCUUCCCUGCUACUUCCAUUAUUUGAAACGUCAAUUGGAAUACCUUUUGAGGUGCAGUUCUUAGUGAGAGGAGGUCCCCAAAGUUUUCAAUGCCAUUAUUUCUCGACAUGAGCGGCUUGGAUGUUGUAGACAUAAAGUUUAACACCUUCUUUCACUGCGCAAGCUAUGGAACCAACUCCCAUAUCAAAGCAAUCCCACAAUGAAAAUUGCCCUGUUUGGGAUAACACCACUUUCUCUUCCCCAGCUAGUUUCCUGCACUUAUCAGAUAUAAUAUGAAAGAAAUGAAAAAGAAAAAUUUUAAAAACCAUACAUAGUACGUACCUACAUACAUAGGUAAAAGUACCAUAGAGCCUCUAUAUCAAAAAAAUGGACAAAUUAAUCCCAGUACAAUAGAUCAAAGAGUAAGCCGAUUCUUUCUAUUAAAAAUUUCAUCAAUUUUUACUAUUAAAAAUUAACGUAGUUGAUGAAACAACUAGACAAUUACAUGCACGUAAAAGCUAAGAAAAAAAAGCUAGAUAAAGUAAAUUCAAACAAGGAUGAAAGUUUUUUGCUAGCUCAUGAUGCUUCAACUUGAUUUUUAUGUAUAUAUACUCGCUCAAAAUCGAAUUUUAUUCAAUACUUUAGCUUUCUAUUUCGACCAUAACCCUUAAAAGAUUUAUCUAAUCCCAUGACCAUUCAUAUGAAAUUUUACAUAAUGUUUUAUAUUAUAUUAGCUUUUACAAAAUUAAUCCCAUUUAUAUGUUACAAAAUUAUAAAAAGUGACAUUUUAAUAAAUAAAUCUGAGCGAAACAGAAAUUGAUUCUAAAACUUUUAAUGAAAAACUCGGUUCACCUUGCUUCAAACUCAAUUUUUAAAAACAAAAAACCACCCUAUAUGGCUGGGGUGGAUGGAAUCUCGAUAACUUGAAAGGAUUUUUGUCAGGUAUGUAUUUCAUACGAGUAUAUUAAAACUUUUAUAAAUUGUUUCAUUUAUUUUUGAAAGAUUUUAUGCGCUCAUUCUCAUAUUUGAAUGUUCCGAAUCCAAAUAUAUACUUUAAAAUAAAAAAUAUAAAUAACUCUAAAUAGGUAUGCCAAUUUGAUCCAAAAAAGUUAACAAAGAAGAGAGAACAAUCAAGUACAUUAAAUUUUACAAACUUGAAAUUAACUUGGAGAUUUAAAUUUUCCAGACCAAAUGCAAAAACGAGGACGUUUUGUGGUUGUCACCUGUCUUACUGAGAAGGGUGAGUCCAAGGAUGAAGAACAACGGCUGAACUCUUUUUUUGUUGAGAUCCAUUGGCAACAGUUAGAAAAUGACAGAAAAAAAAUAGGCUAAUCCUAUUUACUACUAUUUUUGUUACUCCUAAUUUGAAGGAUCAAGGAGGAAGAAGACCAGAUCUAUGGCUGCAACGUCUACUCAAUUAUUAAGCUAAGCAACUGAUGGAAUUUAUCAAACAACAUUUUUUGCUGAAAAUUAUUUUCAUUGUAAAUUAUUGAAAUACAACAAAACCUAUUCAUACAUAAUCAAAACACACUUUGAUCCAAUCUCCAGUAAAUUAUACCAACAUGUUUAGACAUGUUUUUUUCCCAUCAAACUACAUACCCAUAGUAGCCCAAGAUACAUACAGCUUUCGACCAACAUGGUCCAACUUUCGAUAGUAUGCAUGCCUCCAAGACCUGAUGAAAAACAAGGGAGCCACUACAACCCAAAAUCCCAUUACAAAGCCGAGAACUAUGCUGACAUAAAGCCAAUUCACUUUACUUCCUUCCCUGCUCCUUCCAUUAUUUGCAACGUCGACAAUUGGAUUACCUUUUGAGGUGCAGUUCUUAGUGAGAGGAAGUCCGCAAAGAUGAUUGCCCACGUAAGACAAGUUUUCAAAGCUUUGAAGCUGAGUGCUUGUUGGGAUUUGUCCUGUCAAGUUGUUGUAGGACACAUUGAAGUGAUUCAAGAAAUUCAAAUUGGAGAAACUUGGAGGGAUUUCCCCAUUUAGUCGAUUCAUGGACAAAUCAAGAGAUUCUGAUGAAGUUGGCUCAGCAUGCAGCAAACUCGAUAGCAUGCAGGCCAUCAAGACCAAGUCAUGCAAGAGCUGCUGGAACGAGCUGAACUAUUCCUAUUUUGUUCAACUUGUAAUCUUAAGUUAAUGUAAUGUACUUUAGUUCAUUUAGAACUAUGUUAGGUUUAUGAUUGAUGUAUUUUGAUGACAAUUAAGCUGUUAAGUCAGCUUUGUUUAAGUGUGCAAGCUUAGUUUUUCAAGUUUCAAUGUAUUAGUUGUAGUAGGUGAUGAUUAGGUAUCAUUAUGCAGAUUUUGACAAGCAAAUUGCUUGGUUUAUGUAUUGGCAUUAUGCCAUUGUUCAGAAUAUGAAUAGAAUCAGUUUUUGUUCAUCAAUUUCCUCUCCAUUUUCUUAGCUUUUUCUUUCUUUCUUUAACUCGAAAUUGUUUGUUUGCUCAGCAAGUUUUAAGGCUUGCUCGACAAGAUACUUGCUGAGUCUGCUUGAUUCUGAUUCUUGCACCAACAAUUGGUAUCUAGAGCCUAUUUCUUAAGGGAUCUGUUACUCAAUUCCAUGGCUUCAUCAAGCUUUUCACCAGCUGCACCUCAAGUCUUCAAUGGAGAAGGCUAUCACAUAUGGGUGGUCAAAAUGAAGACCUACCUGCAGGCGUUCGAUCUGUGGGAGGUGGUCAACUUUGAUGUUGAACCAGAGCCACUUAGAGCUAAUCCAACAGUGGCUCAGAUCAGGCAGCAUGCUGAUGAAAGGACCAAGAGGCACAAAGCUAUGUCCUGCAUCCAAAACUCAGUGUCUGAUGUGAUUUUCACAAGGAUUAUGGCCUGUGAAUCACCAAAACAGGCCUGGGAUAAGUUGCAGGAAGAGUUUCAAGGGACAGAGAGGACAAGGCAGCAACAGUUGUUAAACUUGAGGAGAGAUUUCGAGAAUUUGAAGAUGAAGGAAGAAGAAACUGUCAAGCAAUAUUCUGACAGGAUUAUGGCUGUGGUUAACAGCAUCAGGCUCCUUGGAGAGCAGUUCAAUGAAGCUAGGAUAGUGGAGAAGGUUAUAGCAACUCUGCCUGAGAGGUAUGAGGCAAAAAUCUCAUCUCUCGAGGACUCAAGGGAUCUAUCCACCAUCUCCCUGACAGAGUUGAUCAAUGCUCUAUAUGCUCAAGAGCAGAGGAGAGCAAGCAGACUGGAGGAGCACCAAGAAGGUGCCUUUCAGGCAAGAGCAAAUACUGCCUACAAAGGCAAGAAGGCCUGGAGAGACAAGCCAAAGAAUGAUGCUGCAAGGAGAGAAGGCCAGACUUGCAAGCACUGUAGAAAGGCUGGUCAUUCAGAAGAAAAAUGCUGGUUCAAUCCAGAUGCUGUGUGUCAGCAUUGUAAGAAGAAGGGUCAUGUUGAGAGAGUCUGCAAGAGUAAGACCAAAUCGAGGCAGAAUCAGUUUCAACAGAUGAAAGCUGAGGCUCGAGUAGCUAAGGAGGACAGUGACCAAGAGGAGCAAGUCUUUGCUGUGUCAUGCUCAGCUGCUCAGGAAAGGUCCUCAUCUGGUUGGCUCCUAGACAGUGGAUGCACCAACCACAUGACACCUGAUGCUGCAAUCUUCAAGUCUUUAGACAGAAGCUGCAGAACUAAAGUCAAGAUAGGAAAUGGUCAUUUUAUCCAAGCUGAAGGCAAGGGUGAUGUGCUGAUAUGCACACUUACAGGUACCAAAGUGAUUUCAAAUGUGCUGUUGGUGCCUGAAAUUGACAGAAACCUGCUCAGCAUAGCUCAGUUGCUGGAAAAAGGUUAUUCAGUUGUGUUUAAAGACCACCAGUGCCAAAUCAGUGAUCCAAGUGGAUCCAAACUGAUGGCAGUCCCUAUGGCUGAUAAGAGCUUUGUGGUUGACUGGACAAAAAGGUCAGACAUUGCCUACACAGCCACUUCAGAUGAAUCCAAGCUGUGGCAUCAAAGAUUGGGACAUGCCAACUUCAGAUCGAUGGCUCGUAUGGUCAGAGAGGACCUGGCUGAAAAUUUCAUCAACUCAGUUGACCAUGAUGAUGUAUGUGAUGUAUGUCAGCUAGGAAAGCAGGCCAGACUCCCAUUUCCCUCGAAUCAAGCCUGGAGAGCCUCUGAAAAACUCCAACUGGUGCAUACUGAUGUGUGUGGCCCUAUGAAGACUGAGUCAUUAAGUGGAAACAGGUAUUUCAUACUGUUUAUUGAUGAUUUCUCGAGAUAUUGCUGGAUUUACUUUUUAAAACAGAAAUCUGAAGUGGCCUCAGUGUUUUGGAAGUUCAAGACUGCUUCUGAGACUGAAACAGGCUGCAAGCUGAAGACCAUAAGGUCUGAUAAUGGGACUGAGUACACCUCAGCUCAGUUCCAAGCCUUCUGUGAUAAGGCAGGCAUCAAACAUCAACUUACCAACACAUAUACACCUCAGCAGAAUGGGGUAAGUGAAAGGAAGAAUAGGAGUUUGAUGGAUAUGGCCAGGUGCUUGAUGAUUCAGAAAAAUCUGCCUAAAGCACUAUGGGCAGAAGCAGUUAACACUGCAACAUACAUUCAAAAUAGACUUCCAACCAAGGCUUUGGAUCAAAAGACCCCGUUCGAGGCCUGGUUUAGUUUCAAGCCAUCAUUGGCUCAUCUGAAGGUCUUUGGAUGCAUCUGUUAUGCACAUGUACCUGCUGUUAAAAGGGACAAAUUGUCUGAAAGGGCUCGACCUGGUGUUUUGGUGGGGUAUAGCACUGUUAAGAAGGGCUAUAGGAUUUUAGAUCCUUCAACAAACAAAGUAUCAAUAAGCAGGGAUGUGGUAUUUGAUGAGAGGUCAUGUUGGAACUGGGAAAGACAUGAACCUGAAGAAGUUUCUGAAGAACUUGCUGUAGACCAAGCUGAGCCAGAUCAAAAUGUCCCUGAAAUGGAUAUUGAUGAUGAACCAGUCAGAGGAACAAGGUCAUUGGCUGAGGUUUAUGAAAGGGCUCAUGUAGCCAUAGCUGAACCAAGCAACUUUGAAGAGGCUGAGGCUCAACAAGGGUGGAAGCAGGCAAUGGCUGAGGAGAUCAGCAUGAUUGAGAAGAACCAGACCUGGGAAUUGGUUGAAAGGCCAGUCAAAAGGAAGGUGAUUGGGGUAAAAUGGGUGUACAAAGCCAAGCAGAAUGCUGAUGGUACCUUGAACAAGUUAAAAGCAAGGCUAGUGGUCAAGGGGUUCAGUCAGAGAUAUGGCUUGGACUACUUGGAGACCUUUGCACCAGUGGCCAGGCUCGACACCAUCAGACUGCUGAUUGCCUUAGCAGCACAGCUCGAAUGGAAGAUUCAUCAACUUGAUGUGAAAUCAGCCUUUCUGAAUGGGUUCUUAGAUGAAGACAUCUAUGUUGAACAACCACAAGGGUUUGAAAUAGCUGGCAGAGAGCAUAUGGUCUACAAAUUGAAGAAGGCCCUAUAUGGCUUAAAACAGGCUCCAAGGGCCUGGUACAGCAGAAUCGAUGGCUACUUGACUGAUCUGGGAUUCAAUCGAAGCAAGAGUGAGCCAACACUGUAUGUCAAGAAGCAAGGGACACAAACACAACUCAUUGUGUCCCUAUAUGUUGAUGACCUGCUAGUGACAGGAGGAGAUCAAGCAGUGCUGGUUAAUUUCAAGACCAAGAUGCAAGAGGUGUUUGAAAUGUCUGAUCUUGGUGAGAUGUCCUAUUUUCUUGGAAUGGAGGUGACUCAAGCACAAGAUGGGAUAUUUUUAAGUCAGAAGAGCUUUGCCACAAAGAUUCUGACCAAGUUCUCCAUGCAAAACAGCAAACCAACUAAAACACCUGUUGCUGUUGGAGAAAAACUAUCGAGCCAAGGAGAUUUUGAGAAGGUAUGUGAAACUACCUACAGGAGUCUAGUUGGUUGUUUGCUAUACUUGACUGCCACUAGACCAGACAUAAUGUAUGCUGUAGGAUUGCUCUCAAGGUUCUUGCAUUGUUGCAAUGAGAAGCAUUUCCAGGCUGCCAAGAGAGUGCUCAGAUAUGUCAAAGGCACUUUGGACUAUGGCUUAAGGUACAGCAGGAAAGGAAAUCUAAAUCUAGUUGGGUACACUGAUAGUGACUGGGCUGGAUCGAUAGAUGACAUGAAAAGCACCUCAGGGUAUGCUUUUAGACUUGGUUCAGCCAUGUUCUGCUGGAGCUCGAAGAAGCAAAGUCUGGUGGCACAAUCUACUGCUGAAGCAGAGUAUGUGGCAGCAGCAAGUGCUGUCAAUCAAGCCAUUUGGCUUAGGAAAAUCCUGGCUGAUUUGAAUAUGGAUCAAAUGGAAGCAACAGAGAUUUUCUGUGACAAUCAAUCUGCAGUAGCAAUUGCUAAAAAUCCAGUGUUCCAUGGGAGAACAAAACAUUUCAGCAUCAAGUUGCAUGUUGUUCGAGAAAUGGAGCAAGCUCAGGAAGUAAAGCUGAUCCACUGUAAUUCAGAGGAUCAACUUGCUGACAUUUUAACCAAAGCUCUUAGUGUCACAAGGUUUGAAUAUCUAAGAAAGAUGCUAGGUGUUUGCUCCAUGCAAACCAAGAAGGAGUGAUGAAGUUGGCUCAGCAUGCAGCAAACUCGACAGCAUGCAGGCCAUCAAGACCAAGUCAUGCAAGAGCUGCUGGAACGAGCUGAACUAUUCCUAUUUUGUUCAACUUGUAAUCUUAAGUUAAUGUAAUGUACUUUAGUUCAUUUAGAACUAUGUUAGGUUUAUGAUUGAUGUAUUUUGAUGACAAUUAAGCUGUUAAGUCAGCUUUGUUUAAGUGUGCAAGCUUAGUUUUUCAAGUUUCAAUGUAUUAGUUGUAGUAGGUGAUGAUUAGGUAUCAUUAUGCAGAUUUUGACAAGCAAAUUGCUUGGUUUAUGUAUUGGCAUUAUGCCAUUGUUCAGAAUAUGAAUAGAAUCAGUUUUUGUUCAUCAAUUUCCUCUCCAUUUUCUUAGCUUUUUCUUUCUUUCUUUAACUCGAAAUUGUUUGUUUGCUCAGCAAGUUUUAAGGCUUGCUCGACAAGAUACUUGCUGAGUCUGCUUGAUUCUGAUUCUUGCACCAACAGAUUCCAUUAACUCCAUCUUGCCAAUGCUGUCUGGUAUAUUUCCUGUUAGGAGAUUUCCUGAAAAAUUUAAAGACAAUAGUCCAACGAGACUACCAAUUUCUUUGGGGAACUCUCCUGUGAGACUGUUAGCUGAAAGGUCCAUGCUCGUAACAAGUCCUAGUGUGCUACCAUAUUCAUCCUCUCGUCCUUUCAACACCAAUAAUGCGUUCAAAACAAUUGCGUCAGUAUAUACAUACUCCGCAAGAACAAAAUUAUUGGUUUUGUUUGUUGUGGCCAUUGCACUUAAACUAUUAAAACAUUUUGGAAUAACUCCAGAAAUGUUGUUGUGGGCAAGGUCCAAGUUUUGAAGAAAUUGAAGAUCACAAAUUUUAUGAGGAAUAUGUCCAUCAAAGUUAUUUGAUCGAAGGCUUAGAAUCACAAGUUUUGAGAGCUUAUCACCAAUCCAUGCUGGUACACUUCCACUGAAAUGAUUUUCACUAAGAUCAAACAUAACCAAAUAUGGAGAAUUUUGCAAUGUGGAAGGCAAUUCUCCAAACAUUGUAUUGUUUCGAAGGUUUAGCAUUAUAAGAUUUAGAUGCCAUAAAGAAGGUGGGAUUUUGCCGGUCAAAUUGUUGCUUCCCAAAUUUAGAAGGACCAAACUUUGCCAAUGAUUCCAACAAUCUGGAAUAUCUCCUGAGAUAAGAUUUUUAUCAAUGUAAAGAACUUCCGUCAAUUUCCCACUUGAUGAAUUACAAAGUAAUUCAAAAAGAGAUCCCGAAAAUGAAUUAUUUGAUAACAUUAGAAAUACUAAAGUUGGGAAUACUCUUGGCAAUGGGCCUAUGAAUCGGUUUGAACUCAAAUCAACAGAGCUUCUCACAUUCAAAUAUGAAAUGUCUCCUCUAAGUUGAUUCGAGGAAAGGUUUAAAGAUUCAAAUGGAGUGGGAAGGUUCAAAAACCAAGGGGGCAUGACAUCUGAAAUUCCUGCAUAGGAGAUAUCCAAAUAAGACAAUUUCUUUUGGAAUUUUAGCCACUGGGGAAACUUUGGGCCAAGAUGCCAGUGACCCAAUUCGAUCCUUUCACAUUGAAAUAGAGGAAUCCAGCUUGAGUUUGGUUCAAAUCUAAGCCGAUUGUGUGAUGCUGCUAGAGUUGUCAAUCUCGUGAGAUUAGAAAAAUGGGUUUCUGAUACAACUCCUUCUAAUAGAUUAUACCCACAAUCCAGAGUUUCCAAACUUUCUAGUCGUCCAAAAGAUAGAGGAAAAGUACCAUUUAAUUGAUUUUCUGAAACAUCAAAUACCUCCAAAGAUGAUAACUGUCCUAUAGACAAGGGAAUUUGGCCGUUUAAUUGAUUUUUUGAAACAUCAAACAACUUCAAAGAUGAUAACUCCCCUAUAGACAAUGGAAUUUGACCAUUUAAUUGAUUUUCUGAAACAUCAAACUCCUCCAAAGAUGACAACUGCCCUAUAGACAAGGGAAUUUGACCAUUUAAUUGAUUUUCUGAAACAUGAAACAACUUCAGAGAUGAUAACUCCCCUAUAGACAAUGGAAUUUGACCAUUUAAUUGAUUUUGUGCAAGAUAAAGCUGAAUAAGAGAGCUCAAGUUUCCAAUGGCACUCGAGAUUGUUCCUUGUAACUGGGUACCCCAAAGACUAAGGAACUGAAGACGGUUUAAACUAUACAAGGAUUUGGGUAUGGAUGAAUUGAGAAAACUUAAACUGAGAUCAAGAAUUUCAAGAAACGAGAUGUUCCCAAAGUAAUCUGGAAUUGGGCCUUCCAAAGAUUUGCUACCAAGAUCAAUGGACACAAGACCAUGAAGACUAAAUAUCCACUUAGGUACUGAAGAUAAGCUGUUCCCAGAAAGAUCAAGAACAACCAGUGAUUUUGUGGAAUUAACAUUGAUCGAAGAUGGAUCAUUGUCUAAACCACAACCUGACAAGUGCAACUCUAACAAAGAAGGAAGUUUGAGUGUUACCUGUACCCAAUCAUUUGCUGUAUGAAGAUCCGCAUAACUCAAAUCAAGGUACUGCAAGGAAGAAAGUCCAGAAACCCAUUGAAGAGUUUUUGAUUUGAGAUCAUUACCUCGAAGAUCAAGAUACUGCAACUUUGAGAGAUUCCCAAGGUUAUGAGGAAUUGUUCCCUGAAAUUGUGCUCGAGAGAGGUUAAGAUAUGUUAAACUCUCCAGCAAACCAACAAAUUUCGGGAUAUGUAUGCUGCUAAAAUUGUUAUUGCUCAAGUCCAGGGAACUGAGAUGCUUCAACUCCAGCAGUGAAGGAUUUAUUUUGCCUCCUAGCAGGGAAUUGUAGUAAGCUUCCCAUUCAGCAUUUGAUGCAAAGUAAUCGGGCUUUGAAAGAGGAGCGGCCAAGUGCAGUUGGUUAACGUGGCCUGUUGAGUUAUGGCAGACGACACCAGUCCAUUCACAGCAAUCCCCACCUUCAACCCAUGACGAUAGCCUGUUUGAAGGAUCAAUAAGAUGAUUCUUGAAUUUCAAAAGAGCUUCUCUCUCACUCUGAAUGCAAAGUAGGUUGGAAUUGGCAUGAGAAAUGGUAAAACAGAUAGCGGGAAUGAGAAGAAGGCAAG